GCAGUCGAACGAAGUAGCAAUACUUAGUGGCAGACGGGUGAGUAACAUGUAGGCAUCUGCCCUUUGGCCUGGAAUAACACGAGGAAACUUGUGCUAAUACCGGAUAAGUCUUUACGGAGAAAGCUUUAUGCACCAUUGGAUGAGCCUGCACUUGAUUAGUUUGUUGGUGGGGUAAUGGCCUACCAAGACUGUGAUCAAUAGCUGAUUUGAGAGGAUGAUCAGCCACAUUGGGACUGACACACGGCCCACACUCCUACGGGAGGCAGCAGUGGGGAAUCUUGCACAGUGGAAGAAACUCUGAUGCAGCGAUGCCGCGUGAGUGAAGAAGGCCCUUGGGUUGUAAAGCUCUUUCCUCGGGGAAGAAAAUGACUGUACCCGAAUAAGAGGGUCCGGCUAACUUCGUGCCAGCAGCCGCGGUAAUACGAAGGGACCUAGCGUAUUUCGGAAUUACUGGGCUUAAAGAGCUCGUAGGUGGUUGAAAAAGUUAGUGGUGAAAUCCCAGAGCUUAACUCUGGAACUGCCAUUAACACUUUUCAUCUAGAGUAUGAUAGAGGAAAGCAGAAUUUCUAGUGUAGAGGUGAAAUUCAUAUAUAUUAGAAAGAAUACCAACUGCGAAGGCAUCUUUCUGGAUCAUUACUGACUCUGAGAGAACGAACGCGUGGGUAG
rnacentral:rRNA from 1 species